rnacentral:rRNA from 1 species
UGAUCCCACCUAAACUAAUUUAUUAGUGAACCCGGAUUCAAUGGCCGCGGUAUUUCUGACCGUGAUAAUGUAGCGAAAUCAAUCGUCACUUAAUUGCUGACCGGUAUGAAAGGUAAAACGAGUGUUCCCCUGUCUCCUAAGAAGAAGCUAUGAAAUUGCAGGGGCCGUGCAUAUACGGCCCUCCCUCUGUAAGACGAAAAGACCCUAUUGAGCUUUACUAUACUUUCCCUGCUUCCAAGAUCCUCCAUACAACCUAAAAGAGAGGUCUUUCCUAGGGAGAGAGGUAGUUUCGUUGGGGCGACGACCUUCCAAAAAGUAACGAAGGUUAGCUAAGGUAUUGAAUAGAUCAACGCCUGACUGUAAGGGCUAUCCCCCGCACAGACACUCCCGUGGGCCUAAGCAAUCCAGCCUGUAUUAACCUACAGGGUGCCAAAAUAUAAAAGUUACCAUAGGGAUAACAGCGUAAUUUUAUUGAAGAGUUCUUAUCGAUAAUAAAGAUUGCGACCUCGAUGUUGAAUUGCGGUAUCCUGAGGGUGCAGCCGCUCUC